rnacentral:pre_miRNA from 1 species
UCACCUUCUUAGGCUGCGGGCCUCCAGGCUGGGCUGGGAGAGUAUCUCUUUGAAAGACUCACCCUCAAACACGACUAGGAGC